UUCUGGAGAAGGAGCCUGAGAACGGCUACUACAUCUACGGAAGGCAGCAGGCGCGUAAUUACCCAAUCUGAUCAGGGAGGUGGUGACAAGAUAUAACAACGCAUUUCAUUGUGAUUGUAGUGAGGGUAUUCCAAACCGAACCACUAGUACGAUUAGAGGGCAAGUCUGGUGCCAGCAGCCGCGGUAAUUCCAGCUCUACUAGCGUAUAUUAAAGUUGCUGCAGUUAAAAGCUCGUAGUUGGAUUUCAAGGAUUGUGUACUCUCUCAUAUUAUUUUUCUCUACUAGUCUUUGACUUGUUACUGUGAGAAAAUUAGAGUGUUUAAAGCAGCUAUUGCAAGAAUACAUUAGCAUGAAUAACGAUUGUAUCUAGAUCUUGGUUAAUCAGGCUCGACCAAAAGAGACAGAGGGGGCAUAGAUUAAUUGCAGAGGUGAAAUUCUUGACUGUAACGACUACGUAUGCAAAGCAUUUGCAGGAUGUUUUCAUUAUCAGACCAACCACACGCGAUCAAGACAUCAGAUACUGUCGUAGUCUAUCUAUAACUAUGCGACUAGGAUUGAUGAACAUCACAUUUCAGACCUUAUGAAAUCAAGCCUUGGGUCUGGGGAUACUGUCCUGACUGACUAGAAUGACGAGACCCAGAGUGGACUGCGCUAUUGACUCACCGGGACUACAGUCACAUAAAGAUGACAUGAGCUUUGAUCU
rnacentral:rRNA from 1 species